GCAAACUUGGUCAUUUAGAGGAAGUAAAAGUCGUAACAAGGUCUCCGUUGGUGAACCAGCGGAGGGAUCAUUACUGGAAUCGCAAGACUCCAACACCCUGUGAACCUACCGGACGUUGCCUCGGCGGGCGCCGCGCCGCCGGGCCCUUAGCGGUCCGGCUCGCAGCACGAGCUCGCCGGCGGCCCCUGACCCUGUCUCUAGCGCUGUAUCUCCGAGUCUACUGAAUGGUCAAAACUUUCAACAACGGAUCUCUUGGUUCUGGCAUCGAUGAAGAACGCAGC
rnacentral:misc_RNA from 1 species